rnacentral:rRNA from 1 species
CCUACGGGUGGCAGCAGUGGGGAAUAUUGGGCAAUGGGCGCAAGCCUGACCCAGCAACGCCGCGUGAAGGAAGAAGGCUUUCGGGUUGUAAACUUCUUUUCUCAGGGACGAAGAAAGUGACGGUACCUGAGGAAUAAGCCACGGCUAACUACGUGCCAGCAGCCGCGGUAAUACGUAGGUGGCAAGCGUUAUCCGGAUUUAUUGGGUGUAAAGGGGGCGCAGACGGCAAUGCAAGCCAGGAGUGAAAGCCCGGGGCCCAACCCCGGGACUGCUCUUGGAACUGCAUGGCUGGAGUACAGGAGGGGCAGGCGGAAUUCCUAGUGUAGCGGUGAAAUGCGUAGAUAUUAGGAGGAACACCAGUGGCGAAGGCGGCUUACUGGACUGUAACUGACGUUGAGGCUCGAAAGCGUGGGGAGCAAACAGGAUUAGAUACCCUUGUAGUC